AGCAGCCGCGGUAAUUCCAGCUCCAAUAGCGUAUAUUAAAGUUGUUGCAGUUAAAAAGCUCGUAGUUGAAUUUCGGGAUUGGCGUAUCGGUCGUGCCUCACGGGGUAUGAACUGGUGCAGUCAAUUUCUCACCUUCUGGAGAACCGCGAUGUCCUUAAUUGGAUGCCGCGGGGAACCAGGACCUUUACUUUGAAAAAAUUAGAGUGUUUAAAGCAGGCAUUUUUGCUUGAAUACAUUAGCAUGGAAUAAUAAAAUAGGACGGCAUGGUUCUAUUUUGUUGGUUUCUAGGACCACCGUAAUGAUUAAUAGGGAUAGUUGGGGGCAUUAGUAUUCAAUUGUCAGAGGUGAAAUUCUUGGAUUUAUUGAAGACUAACUACUGCGAAAGCAUUUGCCAAGGAUGUUUUCAUUAAUCAAGAACGAAAGUUAGGGGAUCGAAGACGAUCAGAUACCGUCGUAGUCUUAACCAUAAACUAUGCCGACUAGGAAUCAGACGAUGUUAAUUUUUUAAUGACUCGUUUGGCACCUUACG
rnacentral:rRNA from 1 species